rnacentral:rRNA from 1 species
UCCUGAAGGGCCGAGGUAGACGACCUCGUUGAUAGGCUGGAGGUGGAAGCCCUGUGAGGGGUGGAGCUGACCAGUACUAAUAGCCCGUGCGUCUUGUUUU